AUGUGGCGUAGUGGUUAAGACACCGGACUGUCAACCUGGGGGUCGUACGCUCGAGCCCGGG
rnacentral:tRNA from 1 species